CUUAGACAUUAAUGGAGCUGAAUCUUCAAUUAUCAGAAAGUUUUAACUCAUAUAUUCUAGAGAAUUCCAAAUGAAUUAAGUGCUCACUAUGUCCCUCUCUAAAUUCAUUCUCUUGGUCUCCUUGAAAAAAAGAAGACGCUGACUUUCAAAUGACUUUUUAAAAACCCUCUCCUCCAUUCUCACCAGACAGAUGAAACUACUGAACUCCUAAAAUUCUUAAGAAGAGGAAACCCUGGCCAUUUUUAGCUGCUUAAUAACAUCCGCAUUGUCCAAAGAACUCUUUCUUUAGUCUAACCAAUUUAUUUUAUUCUACUGUUUUCUAAUCUCAGAAAAUAAUCAAUGUUUGCAUCUUUUUUGCAGAAGUCAUGGUAUAGAGUAAUAAGUUCUCUUUUCACCCAUAGUGGAAACUGUUCUAUAGACUGUUGUUAAAAUUGCUAGUGUUACUAUCACGAUAAUGAUGAUAAUGAUGAUCUAACUAUUUUACAUACUUUGAAAGGGCUGAUGCUGUUAUUAUAGGUCUUCUUGGUCUGUUCUUUUGCAGGGUGUGAAUGGAGUUGUCCAGUACCCAAAGGGGUUUCUAAAGGAAGCCUUUGAGCUGGUGCGAGCAAGGGGAGGCGUGUGCAUUGCAGAUGAAGUGCAGACAGGAUUUGGAAGGUUGGGCUCUCACUUCUGGGGCUUCCAAACCCACGAUGUCCUGCCUGACAUUGUCACCAUGGCUAAAGGGAUUGGGAAUGGCUUUCCCAUGGCAGCAGUCAUAACCACUCCAGAGAUUGCCAAAUCUUUGGCGAAACGCCUGCAGCACUUCAACACCUUUGGAGGGAACCCCAUGGCCUGUGCCAUUGGAUCUGCUGUGCUUGAGGUGAUUAAAGAAGAAAAUCUACAGGAAAACAGUCAAGAAGUUGGGACCUACAUGUUACUAAAGUUUGCUAAGCUGCGGGAUGAAUUUGAAAUUGUUGGAGACGUCCGAGGCAAAGGCCUCAUGAUAGGCAUAGAAAUGGUGCAGGAUAAGAUAAGCUGUCGGCCUCUUCCCCGUGAAGAAGUAAAUCAGAUACAUGAGGACUGCAAGCACAUGGGACUCCUCGUUGGCAGAGGCAGCAUUUUUUCUCAGACAUUUCGCAUUGCGCCCUCAAUGUGCAUCACUAAACCAGAAGUUGAUUUUGCAGUAGAAGUAUUUCAUUCUGCCUUAACCCAACACAUGGAAAGAAGAGCUAAGUAACAUUGUCAGAAAUAAAGAAAACCACAAGUCUCAAGAAUUUGCCACUUAUGUUCAAGGGUGAAUUUGAAGAAUUUCAGAACCACUGGUAUCCAGAGAAAACCUGCAGCUCUCCACAGGAGCUGUAAAAGACAUGGUUGACUGCCUACCAACCAUAUUUGUUAGCAGAGCCCCUAUUAUCUUGAGAACUCCAUUCUUCAGGGAAAAGAUCUCCCUAGCUCAGAGAAUAAAUCGUAAUUAGUUUAUGUUAGGUACGGUAAUUUGAUUCCCCUUUGCAGUGAUUGGUUUAUGCAUGAAUAUGUGAUGUAUUUUUGUCCAGUGAAUCUUGAAGAAAAAUCUUUUGGUGGAGGUGCCUUCAGGGAAAGUUUUCUUCACCCUCACUCUUCAGUUCAAGAAGAGAUGUCUUCUUGUUGCGCUGAGAACACCAUAUGUUCAUGACGAGAUUCCUGGCACCAUGUCAGGCGGCUUGUAGUCAUGAGGACAACCCUUUUUGGUGAGGUUGGAAGAUGGAUGGAAGCCAAGUGCUUAGUGAUGUCAAAGAAGCGCUCACUUAAGCAUUCCUGGAGCCACCCUACCUCAGGGCUUCUUGAUAUUUGAGGUAAUAAAUUCAUUGCUCUGU
rnacentral:sRNA from 1 species